rnacentral:rRNA from 1 species
AUUGAACGCUGGCGGCAUGCCUUACACAUGCAAGUCGAACGGCAGCACGGGAGCUUGCUCCUGGUGGCGAGUGGCGAACGGGUGAGUAAUACAUCGGAACGUACCCAGGAGUGGGGGAUAACGUAGCGAAAGUUACGCUAAUACCGCAUAUUCUGUGAGCAGGAAAGCGGGGGAUCGCAAGACCUCGCGCUCUUGGAGCGGCCGAUGUCGGAUUAGCUAGUUGGUGAGGUAAAAGCUCACCAAGGCGACGAUCCGCAGCAGGUCUGAGAGGAUGAUCUGCCACACUGGGACUGAGACACGGCCCAGACUCCUACGGGAGGCAGCAGUGGGGAAUUUUGGACAAUGGGGGCAACCCUGAUCCAGCCAUGCCGCGUGAGUGAAGAAGGCCUUCGGGUUGUAAAGCUCUUUCGGCGGGGAAGAAAUGGCAACGGCUAAUAUCCGUUGUUGAUGACGGUACCCGCAUAAGAAGCACCGGCUAACUACGUGCCAGCCGCCGCAGUAAGAC